AAGGGUUUUCAUUCGAAUAAUUCAGCCCUGGGUUUUCGUCUUGUUACUGUCUUCCUGAAAUACCUCUUGUGCAUUUUGUGUUAUUUUUUACAUUUUUGUUUUAGGACAAAAUGAGAAUUUUGGGGGUUGGACUAAGAUAAAAUGUCAUAUUUCUUGGGAGAGAUAGCACAUAUCCAAAAUACCUCUAAUCUGGGAGUUUUCUUUGUUUCUAAGCUAAGACUAUUCCUGAUUCCUGCAACUUCC
rnacentral:lncRNA from 1 species